rnacentral:lncRNA from 1 species
CAAGGAGUGAGCCGCAGGAUGACCCAGGACAAGUGGCAGCAACAGGCCAAACUCCGCGUGGUUCUGCCAGUCAGUGGCCUGCCAGCAUGCCGGUGCCUAUCAGUGCGUUCAUCUCGACAUCCAGCCGCCCGUGUGUGUCUCCGCUGAUGUGCUCCUCUCCACGUCCAGCUGCCUGUGUCUGCCUGCUAAGGUCUCAGGGGAUUUUAUAAGCACAGGAUGGGGGCGUGGCAGGCCAGGGUGGUCGUGAGAAAUGCAACAUUUGGGUAGGAAGUGCCUGUUCUCACCUAGGUCCGUGGGGUUGGAGCCCUAGUCUGGGACCAUGCCCUCCUCUACCCAGCACUUCCUUUCCCUGCUUCCGUAUCAUUUAAAUGGACCACACUUUUCCCUUCCCAGCACUUGCCUUCCCUAUCAACAGCACAUUCUCUAGCCACCAUGGGGUCAGCACACUCUCCAGCUACGUCGGGCCAGCAGCGGCUGGGCUCCAACUCAGGUCUGCACCAGACCCUCAUUCUUAAACCCCUGCGUCUCGGCCUGCCCAUGUUCCAGCUUCCCCAAGUCUUGACUCCCAAUGUCCCAGCCUCCUUGAGGUCUCAGUCUCCCUGUUCCAGGCCUCAGCCUCCCCUGAGUCCCUGCCUAGCCCAGUUCCUACCUCCCACUUCCCCUCCCCAGGUCUCUGCUACCAUGGCCCACCCAGCUGCACCCCCACCCCACACUUCUCCUGGGACCCAGGAGGCCACUCAUGGGCUAAGCCUGGUGGCAUCUUCAUGUAAACCUUGCCCUGAGCACACGCCCGUGGCUGUGGCUGCUGACUUUCAC